rnacentral:rRNA from 1 species
UACGUAGGGUGCUAACGUUGUUCGGAAUCACUGGGCAUAAAGAGCGCGUAGGCGGCCUGUUAAGUCCUGUGUGAAAGCCCCCGGCUCAACCGGGGAAUUGCACCGGAUACUGUCGGGCUAGAGUACAGGAGGGGAGAGCGGAAUUCCUGGUGGAGCGGUGAAAUGCGUAGAUAUCAGGAGGAACGCCGGCGGCGAAAGCGGCUCUCUGGUCUGUUACUGACGCUGAGGUGCGAAAGCUAGGGGAGCAAACGGG